UUUCCUUUCCUUUUUCUCUUCCCUUUUCCCCUGGGAUGUGCUGCCAACACUUGACGAGUCCUGAAGACUCCACAACGACCCCAUGAAAUCCUACUGAUGAAGAUCUUUCGAGGGCAAUCGUCAGUCACGGGGUGGUUUCCGGCUUAGAACAGGACACAGUGCAGGUGCAACCACUGAACCGUCAUGCUGGCUGUUCCGAACAAGGCCUGGCAAGAACUUGGCAAGGAGUUGGCAAGGACUUGGCAAAGACCUGACACGGACCCAGCACGGGACAGCCUGAUGCGCAGCCUGCUUCUAAUCUCCGUUCUUAAGCCAAAUGAACUUUUGGGGUGACUCCCGUGGUCCUUCAUUGAAGACCCCUCAUCUGCCUCGUUACCACUGUGACAAACAAAGAAUGAGAACCCUCCUCCCAAGGACUGAGACCCCUGCUAUAGGGAGGAGGGGAAAUUGGUGGUCUGACCACUAAUGACAUGACCUGUUUCCCUUCAGUGAUUCAAAUGGACUUAUUCUUCAUUGUAUUCGUCUUGCUUUGGUGGUUUCUGUGGACUCACCUGUUCCCUCAGGGCGAUUACAAUGGACUUUCAUUGUUACACUUGUUCCCCCCUCUUUCCUCUGUGGACUAUAAUUGGAGCCCCGAGUUGACCAGAACUUCGAAGACUUCCCCGACACGACAGACGGAUCCCCAUCGUCCGGACCACUGAGGAUCUCGCCUGUGUUGGUAGCUAUUCCCAUAUCCUUCCUCUUCUCUCUCUCUAUUCUUCUAUCUCCUUUCUGAUCCCCACUAUCGCAUUUACUGUUUUGGCCCCUAAUAAAGGUGCAUUUGUUGUGAUUAACUGA